GUGGGGAAUAUUCCGCAAUGGACGAAAGUCUGACGGAGCAACGCCGCGUGAGUGAUGAAGGUUUUCGGACUGUAAAGCUCUGUUGUUUGGGACGAAAGUGCCUGUUGCGAACAGUUACGGGUAUUGACGGUACUAAACGAGGAAGCCACGGCUAACUACGUGCCAGCAGCCGCGGUAAUACGUAGGUGGCAAGCGUUGUCCGGAAUUAUUGGGCGUAAAGAGCAUGUAGGCGGGAAUCUAAGUCUGUUGUUAAAAUGCGGGGCUCAACCCCGUAAUGCGAUGGAAACUGGGUUUCUUGAGUGCAGGAGAGGAAAGGGGAAUUCCCAGUGUAGCGGUGAAAUGCGUAGAUAUUGGGAGGAACACCAGUGGCGAAGGCGCCUUUCUGGACUGUGUCUGACGCUGAGAUGCGAAAGCCAGGGUAGCGAACGGGAUUAGAUACCCUGGUAGUCC
rnacentral:rRNA from 1 species